GAUGAACGCUGGCGGCGUGCCUAAUACAUGCAAGUCGAGCGAACAGAUGAGGAGCUUGCUCCUCUGACGUUAGCGGCGGACGGGUGAGUAACACGUGGAUAACCUACCUAUAAGACUGGGAUAACUACGGGAAACCGGAGCUAGUACCGGAUAAUAUAUUGAACCGCAUGGUUCAAUAGUGAAAGACGGUUUUGCUGUCACUUAUAGAUGGAUCCGCGCCGCAUUAGCUAGUUGGUAAGGUAACGGCUUACCAAGGCAACGAUGCGUAGCCGACCUGAGAGGGUGAUCGGCCACACUGGAACUGAGACACGGUCCAGACUCCUACGGGAGGCAGCAGUAGGGAAUCUUCCGCAAUGGGCGAAAGCCUGACGGAGCAACGCCGCGUGAGUGAUGAAGGUCUUCGGAUCGUAAAACUCUGUUAUUAGGGAAGAACAAAUGUGUAAGUAACUAUGCACGUCUUGACGGUACCUAAUCAGAAAGCCACGGCUAACUACGUG
rnacentral:rRNA from 1 species